CCUACAGAAGAAGCACCGGCUAACUCCGUGCCAGCAGCCGCGGUAAUACGGAGGGUGCGAGCGUUAAUCGGAAUUACUGGGCGUAAAGCGCAUGCAGGCGGCCUGUUAAGUCAGAUGUGAAAGCCCGGGGCGUUAACCUCGGAAUUGCAUUUGUAAACUGGCAGGCUAGAGUCUUGUAGAGGGGGGUAGGAAUUUCAGGUGUAGCGGUGAAAUAGCGUAGAGAUCUGAAGGAAUACCAGUGGCGAAGGCGGCCCCCCUGGACAAAGACUGACGCUCAGAUGCGAAAGCGUGGGGAGCAAACAGGAUUAGAUACCCCUGGUAG
rnacentral:rRNA from 1 species